UCAUCAGGCCAGCGGUCAAGGCCUGGGCCAAAGACCCGCGACUUUUUUGCGCUACGUCUUGCCUCGCGCUUAUUCGUGACAAACUGAGUUACUGUACAGUUUCACGGAAGGUGAGAAUAAGGUACCGAAUACCGCUGACAAUUAUUUAUGCUCACCUUUUAUCGUCUCUGCAGUCGCGUUUUAACUCUGGACCUCGAGGGGAGCUUUUCGAUGAAUCAUUUGUUACCACAUGGCUGGACUCAUGACGGUGGGACUUGAUUGCUAAUUUCUGCAUCAGGUUUUUCCAGAUGCUUUGAUUUCAUCCAAAUCAGUGCGUUUAAUCGACAUCGUCUGGUUUCUUGCCGUAUUCGAGAAGGCGAUUUUUGUAAGAAAAGGCUCUUCGCAUCGUACGAGAAUAGGUUUGAUUUUAGACUUCAUUUGCCUGCCUCAUGCUGAUAAAAUAUGGUUUUCAUCCAUGUUUAUCUGCGCGCAAGAAUCUGUUGAUGAAGCUCCAUCAAUAAUGACAAUAAGGAUCGAGCGAGCUACGGAUUCCACGUAACAAUGAUCAGACC
rnacentral:lncRNA from 1 species